GGGUUGAUGGCGUAGUUGGUUAUCGCAUCUGUCUAACAUUCAGUUGGCCACAGAAGGUCCUCAGUUCGAACCUGGGUCGACUCA